CUCAGAGAUGGCAAUGGCUGUGAGUGGGCAAAUUGUAAGCACUGAAGAUCUCCUGUGUAAUCGCACUGCAGAUGACAGAGGAAUGGAAUCACUGAGAUUCAGUUCCCCUGAGGAAGAACAGCCUUAAAAUCUGAAAGGCUCUAGGAGAUGGGAUGGGAAAUACCUCUGCAAGCUAUGCCUCGCUAGGGAGAUGUCCAUUCAAUGACUUUUUCCUGAAAGAAAAUACAAUGAAGAUGGUCUUGGUGAAUUUAUGAUGACUCCAACCCAUAGAAAGCAGUGGAAAAUAUUAAACAUAUGAAGUAAAUCUCAAGGUAUAUAGCCUCAUGAAGACACAUCAUUGAAUCAUUUACUAGGGUUUCUUACAUAUUCCUGAAACUUACCUGUAUUUCUUACCUACCCCUGCUUCUAACAUGAACACUUGCUGUGAUAAACACUUUGAAUUCAUGUAUAAGAAAGAAGGCAAGAAAGAUGAGAUAGACAGCAAUGUGACUGUGUGCUGUCCAGCAACUUUAACAUAUUAUACCAAUUAAACUAAUCAUCAAAUUC